rnacentral:rRNA from 1 species
UACGUAGGGCGCGAGCGUUGUCCGGAUUUAUUGGGCGUAAAGAGCUCGUAGGCGGCUUGUCGCGUCGUCCGUGAAAACCUGUGACUCAACUGCAGGCUUGCGGGCGAUACGGGCAGGCUAGAGUUCGGUAGGGGAGACUGGAAUUCCUGGUGUAGCGGUGAAAUGCGCAGAUAUCAGGAGGAACACCGGUGGCGAAGGCGGGUCUCUGGGCCGAUACUGACGCUGAGGAGCGAAAGCGUGGGGAGCGAACAGG